UAGUCCACGCCGUAAACGAUGAGAACUAGAUGUCGGGGGGAUCUGCCCUUCGGUGUCGCAGCUAACGCGUUAAGUUCUCCGCCUGGGGAGUACGCCGGCAACGGUAAAACUCAAAGGAAUUGACGGGGACCCGCACAAGCGGUGGAGCAUGUGGUUUAAUUCGAUGCAACGCGAAGAACCUUACCUGCCCUUGACAUUGACAGAAUCCCGUAGAGAUAUGGGAGUGCUUCGGCCUGGAAAACAGGUGCCGCAUGGCUGUCGUCAGCUCGUGUCGUGAGAUGUUGGGUUAAGUCCCGCAACGAGCGCAACCCUUGUCUUUAGUUGCCAUCAUUUAGUUGGGCACUCUAGAGAAACUGCCGGUGACAAACCGGAGGAAGGUAAGGAUGACGUCAAGUCAGCAUGCCCCUUACGCUCUGGGCUACACACGUGCUACAAUGGUCGUGACAAAGAGUUGCUAGUCUGCGAAGGCAAGCCAAUCUCAUAAACGCGGCCUUAGUUCGGAUUGC
rnacentral:rRNA from 1 species